ACUCAAAUGAAUUGACGGGGGCCCGCACAAGCGGCGGAGCAUGUGGCUUAAUUCGACGCAACGCGAAGAACCUUACCAAGGCUUGACAUACGCCGGAAAGCCGUGGAGACACGGCCCCCCUUGUGGUCGGUGUACAGGUGGUGCAUGGUUGUCGUCAGCUCGUGUCGUGAGAUGUUGGGUUAAGUCCCGCAACGAGCGCAACCCUUGUUCUGUGUUGCCAGCGAGUUAUGUCGGGGACUCACAGGAGACUGCCGGGGUCAACUCGGAGGAAGGUGGGGACGACGUCAAAUCAUCAUGCCCCUUAUGUCUUGGGCUGCACACGUGCUACAAUGGUCGGUACAAUGGGCUGCGAGACCGCGAGGUGGAGCGAAUCCCAAAAAGCCGGCCUCAGUUCGGAUUGGGGUCUGCAACUCGACCCCAUGAAGUCGGAGUCGCUAGUAAUCGCAGAUCAGCAUGCUGCGGUGAAUACGUUCCCGGGCCUUGUACACACCGCCCGU
rnacentral:rRNA from 1 species